CACACAAAAAAAACUAGGGUUUCUCUCAUUUGGUCCGCCGCUCAUCCUCUCAUCCUCUGCUCUCUCUCUAUCUCUCUAUGGCGAUUCCUAGCGACUUCAUCAGGCCUCUCUCUCGGAUCUCACCAGAUCUCUCACCAGAUCUGUGAGGAUUUCACCAGAUCGAUGAAGUUUUUUCAGGUUUGAAUAGAUAGGGUUUUGAUCGAUUGGUAGAUCCUUUGUGAUAAUCUAUUUACCAAGCCCAAUAUUGGUCCGCAAAUUAAUGCAUCAACAGUUGGGAAAGCUCUGGUUGUGGAUAUCUAUUGCAGCACUCCUUGGGUUUUUGAUUAUCUUCAACAUAUUCUUUAUCGUAGCACUAACUUCCCUGAAUCCUCCGGUGUGAUGCUAAACCUGUGAUCAGAGAGGAAAAUGAUAUAAAGAAUUCAAAAAAUAACAGCUUACAGUAGGCUCAGCUUGUAAUGGGUUGGGUCAGAUUGUUUUUUGUAAGAAAUUAGCAGUUUUAUAUAUGAGUUAUACUCAUUCAGUAACAAUAUACUUUAAGGGAUGGCCAAUCACAUAAGCUUUGGUGGACCUCCCGUGAAAACUGAGACAGCUGAAGGAGCAGGAGAAACAGGUAUUCAAUAACAGUUACUCACAAAAAGAUCACUUUGAGGUCUUCCCAGAAAGGGUUUUGGGUUCAAUGUAAUGUCUUUAAAGGUGCAAGUGGAGAAUUAAAGUUGGUUUGACUUGUGGAGACAGAUUAGGCCGGGAAAUUGCAUGGAUUAAAUGAUUUAAACUAUGUCACUUGUCUUUCGUGCCUCUUCUGUAAAUGUGAAUCAAGAACUACAAACAAGUUUGCAUCAUUUGUAUUUGUUUUCUAUGGAUUUGUUCUCUUUCAGAUUGGAAUUAACUAUGGAGGUAUUUUCUAUGAAUUUGUUCAUUGGAAUGGAGUUGUUGAACAGGAAGUUGCUUAGUGGGUUUACUGGCACGAGACCACUGAAAAUGAAACACAUGAGGUCAUUAGUGGCCAUUUGGGGUGGGUGAGAUCUGUUGCGUUUAGUCCAAAUAACGAGUGGUUCUGUACCGGUUCUGCAGAUCGAACGAUUAAGAUUUGGGAUACUGGAUCAGGACGGUUAAGGUUGACACUAACAGGGCAUAUAGAACAAGUUAGAG